UCUCUCUUGUCGGAGUGCCAAUGAUCUAUUGGCUGAGACCGUAAACCGGGAUCCGUGGAACCUGCUCGGGUUAAGACCUGCGAAGGGAACAAGUCAAUCAUCUUA
rnacentral:ncRNA from 1 species